CCACCAACAAUCACAAAGAACUGGAACCCAUUCCUAAUGGUAGAUGGUGGAAAAAAACAACUCUAAACAGGAUGUGAUGAAACUGAAUUUAUUUUCUUUUAAAAAAUAUAUCUUUCCGUCAAAACAAAAUAGAGGAUAAGGAUAAAAAUGUGAAAUUAAAAAAUAACUAACGUCAGGAAAUCACAGACAAAAUGGAUGAAAACGCCACAUAAAUCAUUUUAAUUCGUAAACAGUAAACAUGUUUUAUCUAAGCGAUUUAAAUUAGUCAGUGUCAGUAUAAGCCCAUAAAAUUCGGUUGAGUUAAAUGAUGUCCAUUUCAGGGAACCAAUGUUCGAGUUCACGAGGUUUCGAUGCUGUGUGUGUUUGGCUACUUUAUCAACGUGAAAGGAUCGAGGUGUUGACAGAUGACUACUGUAUGUUUCACAAAAUAGAACGAAAGAAAGAAGCUUAAUAUGUAAAGUGUGCACACUAACAUAUGCUAAUGCUAUGAGACAAUGUAUAUAAUCUGAUUAUUGGUCACAUCGGAAUCAUAUUUGUGUCCGUCUCAAUCGUAUUUAAGUCGGACAUUAGCUUUGACAAAAAACUGAAAUUGACAAUGUUAUAAAUCGUAACAUUGAUUCCAAACAAUUAUAAAACAGACCUUGUUUGCUUGUUUUCCGGUUAGCAUUAUGGUCGAGGUAUACAGUCAGACCUCGUUUAUCCGAAGUUCAGAUAUCCGAAUACCUCGGUUUCCGAACAUUCUUCACAAAAAACGAAAUUUUCUAGUUACAAUUUACCUCGUAUAUCCGAAUGUUCGGUUUCCGUAUCCGAACGGUCAAUUUUGGUAACAAAACAGCAAAAAAUGUACAAAUUUGCCUCGUAUAUCCGAACACCAAGGCUGUCGUAGGCAAGAUGUCUGAUGUUUACCGCUCCUCAACAGUGCUCACUGCAUUGACCUUUGAUCAAUCCUAUAUCAAAACCCAAGGUCUGUUGUCGGCGAGGUAUCAAAACACGAUGUCUAUCGCUUGUCAAAACAUUGUGCUGGCUGCUAGUUAAUUCAUUGUUUAUUGAAUAUUUAUCACAAGGCGUGUAGGUUAAUUAGAGAAGAAACAAUUAAAGUAUACGAGUGGCA